rnacentral:rRNA from 1 species
CCUACGGGAGGCAGCAGUGGGGAAUAUUGCACAAUGGGGGCAACCCUGAUGCAGCGACGCCGCGUGCAUGAAGAAGGAUUUCGGUGUGUAAAGCUCUGUCAGCCGGGGAGAAAAUGACGGUACCUGACCCAGAAGCCCCGGCUAACUACGUGCCAGCAGCCGCGGUAAUACGUAGGGGGCAAGCGUUAUCCGGAUGUACUGGGUGUAAAGGGAGCGUAGACGGCAGGGCAAGUCAGGAGUGAACGGCCGGGGCUCAACCCCCGGACUGCUCUGGAAACUGCAAGGCUGGAGUGCAGGAGGGGAAGGCGGAAUUCCUAGUGUAGCGGUGAAAUGCGUAGAUAUUAGGAGGAACACCGGUGGCGAAGGCGGCUUUCUGGACUGUAACUGACGUUGAGGCUCGAAAGUGUGGGGAGCAAACAGGAUUAGAUACCCGAGUAGUC